UGAAGAAUCAAUAAUCGAUUCAAGGCCGGUGUUCGACCUCUCCAAUCUCCGACUGUUUCAUCUCUUCUUCUUUGGAAAGGAGGAAGAAGCCAUGAAGAAAUCAAGUAAUUGAUUGUUGGUGAAUGCUUCCAAUACUCAGGAAAGGUCUGGAUUUGUCGAAUUUGCUACUUGGGAAUUCGUUGAUUGCCAUGUAUGGAAAGAUUGGUUCGUUGGAUUAUGCUUUUGGAGUGUUUUUGACUAUGAAGGCGGCGGUUGUCAUUUCUUGAAACAGUUUGAUUUGGGGUUGUCAUAGAUCAGGGUAUGAAGAAUUGGCCAUACAUCAGUUUGUUGUUAUGUGAGGCACUGAGCAUUCCCCUGAAGAUUUACAAUAUCAAUUGUGAUGAAUGUUUGUUGUAACUUGCUUGAUUUGGAAAGAGGAUACGGUCCGACUUUUUUGAGAACUAAACUGCUGGGAUUCAGCUGUUUGCAAUUCCAUGAUUUUGUGCUAUGCAAGGCAUAAUUGUGUGGAGAAUACUGUGCUGCUUUUUGUGCUGACCUUGACAAAGAAUCUCAGGCCAACUAAGUUUACUCUUAGCAGUGUACCGAGCAGUAUGUCCACUUUUGUUCCAGUUGAGCAGGGUUUUCAAAUCCAAUCUUGGGUUUUAAAGUUAGGCUUCAAGUCAGAUGCUAUUGUCCAUUGUUUACUCAAUCUGUGCACAAAGGGUAGAUAAUUUUGGAGCUUCUGCAAAUUGAAGGAGGAAAAACACAAUAUUACAACAAAUUGAUAGAGGUUGAAGGUAGAGAGCUAGGUUGCUUCUCACUGGUUAGUCAGUACGUCGUUCCUUGCUUAUCCUGGAUAGCGGACGAACCAAUUUUAAGUUGCUGAUAAGCUGCUUCAUCAUGCAGAGCUAAUGUUUAUGAACUUAAGCUCCUGAUCACAUCAGUUUGCUGCAGAAAACUACCUUCCAAAAGCCUUACUUGAAAUCAAGAGCGUGGAUGUGUUUUAAUUAUCAUUGUACAUGAAUUCUUGCAGGGAGCACUGUGUUCUACAUAAUGUUACAAUUCUCUCUGUUCUCUUCAAGGUUGCCCAAAAAAGCCCUCGAUUAUCUACCAAAAUGUUAUUGAUUGCUUUCCCAUAGGAGGCCUGACUUCCUAGAAUUCAAUGGUGCAUAGAUGAUAGUUAUUCAACUAUGGCAUUGGCAUUCAUUUCCUUCACGCUGGAGACCCUGAGAAGCUACCCCAGAUCAACUAAAUUAACCCCAAAGAUAACCACAUGCAUUUCUUUCCAGUUUUGUUGCAGCUGGUCAAUAGUUUCUUUUCUGCUCGGGCGUGCCAGCACAGUUCAGGUGCGGUCGUCGGGGGUGUCCCUUUACUUGACUUCUUUCGAGCGAUUGUGGACAAGGAGAGCACCAACCUCGUCACGGGAUUCUUUGUGCCUCAUGGUGAGGACUUUUGCUAAGUUUCUUUAAGAUUACACAAUCGAUACUCGACGUUGUAGAUCGAGCAGAGCGAAAAUC